GUUGAACGCUGGCGGCAGGCCUAACACAUGCAAGUCGAGCGGUAACAGGGGAAGCUUGCUUCUCGCUGACGAGCGGCGGACGGGUGAGUAAUGUAUGGGGAUCUGCCCGAUAGAGGGGGAUAACUACUGGAAACGGUAGCUAAUACCGCAUAAUCUCUAAGGAGCAAAGCAGGGGAACUUCGGUCCUUGCGCUAUCGGAUGAACCCAUAUGGGAUUAGCUAGUUGGUGAGGUCAUGGCCAACCAAGGCGACGAUCCCUAGCUGGUCUGAGAGGAGGAUCAGCCACACUGGGAAUGAGCCACGGCCCAGACUCCUACGGUAGGCAGCAGUGGGGAAUAUUGCACAAUGGGCGCAAGCCUGAUGCAGCCAUGCCGCGUGUAUGAAGAAGGCCUUAGGGUUGUAAAGUACUUUCAGUUGGGAGGAAGGCGUUGAUGCUAAUAUCAUCAGCGAUUGACGUUACCAACAGAAGAAGCACCGGCUAACUCCGUGCCAGCAGCCGCAGUAA
rnacentral:rRNA from 1 species